GUAGGUGGCAAGCGUUGUCCGGAAUUAUUGGGCGUAAAGCGCGCGCAGGCGGUUCUUUAAGUCUGAUGUGAAAGCCCACGGGCUCAACCGUGGAGGGUCAUUGGAAACUGGAGAACUUGAGUACAGGAGAGGAGAGCGGAAUUCCACGUGUAGCGGUGAAAUGCGUAGAGAUGUGGAGGAACACCAGUGGCGAAGGCGGCUUUCUGGUCUGUAACUGACGCUGAGGCGCGAAAGCGUGGGGAGCAAACAGGAUUAGAUACCCUGGUAGUCCACGCCGUAAACGAUGAGUGCUAAGUGUUAGGGGGUUUCCGCCCCUUAGUGCUGCAGCUAACGCAUUAAGCACUCCGCCCGGGGAGUACGGCCGCAAGGCUG
rnacentral:rRNA from 1 species